rnacentral:sRNA from 2 species
UAUUCUGCCCCAUGGGGAAGGAUGAGAAGCUUCGACUAAGGUUCGACUCGAGCGAAGCGAGAGAACGUUGCCGCAGGCAACGGCCCGAAGGGCGAGGCGCUUUAGCGCCGAGUA